rnacentral:rRNA from 1 species
GAGCGAGAAAAGGGGGGCAACUCCCUGAGUAAAGCGGCGCACGGGUGAGUAACACGUGGGUAAUCUGCCCUGGAGUGGGGAAUAACACCGGGAAACCGGUGCUAAUACCGCAUACGAUCACGGAGUCUGCGGAUUUUGUGAUGAAAGGAGCAAUUCGCUUUAGGAGGAGCCCGCGGCUGAUUAGCUAGUUGGCGAGGUAACGGCUCACCAAGGCGAUGAUCGGUAGCUGGUCUGAGAGGAUGGCCAGCCACACUGGAACUGAGACACGGUCCAGACUCCUACGGGAGGCAGCAGUGGGGAAUCUUGCGCAAUGGGCGAAAGCCUGACGCAGCGACGCCGCGUGGGGGAUGAAGCUUACUCGGAGUGUAAACCCCUUUCGACCGGGACGAAUGCCCGCAAGGGAGUGACGGUACCGGUAGAAGAAGCCCCGGCUAACUACGUG